rnacentral:rRNA from 1 species
UACAGAGGUCUCAAGCGUUGUUCGGAUUCAUUGGGCGGAAAGGGCGCGUAGGCUGCGGGGCAAGUCGGGUGUGAAAUCUCAGAGCUCAACUCUGAAACUGCACUCGAUACUGCUUUGCUUGAGGACUGGAGAGGAGAUUGGAAUUCACGGUGUAGCAGUGAAAUGCGUAGAUAUCGUGAGGAAGACCAGUGGCGAAGGCGGAUCUCUGGACAGUUCCUGACGCUGAGGCGCGAAAGCGUGGGGAGCAAACAGG